AUCAGUGAUUAAAAAUGUAGGAAGAUACAGCAAAGAAAAGUAAAGUAAGGAUCAUGAUAGCAAAACCCAAUAAUGUCAAGAUCCUAAAGGUGACAAUCAGGUGCCUAUGUGGGUGCCCACCAAACAUCUGAAGAUCUAUCAUGAGCCACAGCAUCUAGUGGAACCACCUGUACAGUGCGAAUUGAAGGAGAUUAAUGAACUGUGUGGAUACCCUCAAGAUGUGUAUGACCAUGGAACGGGAGACUGGAGGGAUCCGUGGAUCCCAACCAUGCACCAGGUUCCCCCAGUAUGAGCCAUGAGCCAGUUGAAUCUGAAUGCGAAGAUGGAAGGAGGACUAACCAGAGUCAACAAUGCUUAAUGGAUCAAUGCUUUCUAACUCAGCUCCUCUCUACCCUGAAUACAAGAGACCCUAAUAGUUAGGCAGGAGUAUCAUCGCCCCUAUUCAGCAUGAAGUUACAGAAGACGGACCUUCAUCCUUCUGCAACCCCUAGGAUUAAGAGUCCUCUUGUAAAAGGAAAAGGGGAAAUAUGUGGGAAGCAUUCGAACCAGAGGUGACUCCAGUCUGAAUAAGCGCUAAGAAAAAUGAAGCUGGAUCACCAACUGGCAAUUAAGGACUGCACAGCCUGCAAUUGCCUUGUUCAAUUAAAAGAGGCCACCUCUUAUGCUAGUAAUAAUGAUAGCAAUAAUACCUUCUCUUUUACUAAAAAGAAAGGGGGGGCAUGUUGGGGAAAAAGCUGAGUGUUGGGAGGGAAACUGAGGCAGGGCUUGCAUAUGUCCUCUGGAAUGUGUCUAGACUUGCUGGCUCCUUGCUUCUAGCCCUUCUAGACUCGUAUUCCCAUUAUCUCAAGUAGCAGAACAUGUUCCUUAUAAUGCUAAACCGUCACAGCUGUAAAUCAUGUGCUUAAUGCAACGUGUCCUUUUGACCUCCACAUUCUCACCACCUGUUUGUCGGAUUACCAAUAAAUACCAUUGGCUCAGAGCUUGUAGCCUCCGCAGCCUCCAUACAAUAGUGAUGGCCCCCUGGUGUGCCACCUUUUUUUUUCUCUCACUGUCUUUUUCUCAAUCCUUUGACUCUGCUGGACUUUGUUACCCCCACGACCUGAUGUUGGGUCUCAUCACCCCAACAAAUUUAUAGUUAUUCUCUAACUCUCAAUAUUAUGUAAUAAUUGAUAGCACAUUUAAAUGAUUUGCUGAUUGUCACACUUGCUCAUUAUAAACCUUAGGUUAUUACAAUGAUAUUGACAUUGGAAACCAAAGGAAUUGCAAUACUGUGUUUAUUCUUUGUGCUGAGUUUCAAGAAAACUUGUGUCACAAGGCAUGUGGAACAUUGUAAAAUUCAGCUAGGCAAAUGGACCUUUGCCUUCACUAUAUCUCCAAUGACCACCAAGCACUAUAUAGGGUUGUGAUGGAUAAUGCAUUACUUACCUCUCAGAUGAGAAGGAUGUAAACCUUGGCUUUCUCAUAGAGAUUAUUUUAAAAGCUGUUCUGGGUCACAAGCUGAUGAGGGACUCUCAACAUAAAAGUAAAGAAACAUGUUCCAUGCAGUUCUUUAGGAAAUUUUCUUCACGUUUACAGCAUCUAACAUUAGGAAUUUGAAUCACCUAUUACAUUUUUUA